CGUGAGGAACCUACCUUUCAAGUGGGGAAUAACUGCCAGAAAUGGCAGCUAAUACCGCAUGUGGUUGUCUGUUGGCAUCUUCGGACAACUAAAGAUUUAUCGCUUGGAGACGGCCUCGCGGCCUAUUAGCUAGUUGGUGGGGUAAUGGCCUACCAAGGCGAUGAUGGGUAGCUGGUCUGAGAGGACGAUCAGCCACACUGGGACUGAGACACGGCCCAG
rnacentral:rRNA from 1 species